AAUUUUGCAGCUGUCAUGUAUUCCUACUCACCAUCAUCAGGAAUAUUUCAACAUGAAGGCUUCAGCACUUGGGAUCUCAGAGGCCAGCAUCAGCGGCAGGUGUCAUCUGGAUCUCUGCCCAACAUACACAAAUGGGUGGUUGGUCUGGUUCUGCUCUUCCUCAAAAUCCCUGUCCCCUCUCUCCCUCUCCCUCCCACCCGCUUCUUGGACUCCAAAAGAUCUAUCCCAGAGCCAUCCCUUAGCAAUAACACCAGCCCUUAACCUUAGGUAGACACAGUGGAUCCAGGGCUGGAAAGUCGGGAGAUGAGCCCUAGCUCUGUCUUGCCUUAGGCUCCAGUUCCCUCAUCUGUGUGAGCAGCGGGGUGGGGCUUGGAGACCUUGGCACUGCCUCCAUUUCCCGGUCUGUGUUUUAACUUACUCCAACCAGGGGAAAUGUUCUGGCACCUUCUUUCCCCACUGCCCUCCAGCUUCCAGGACUUUCUGAGGCUGAAGAGCAUCAAGGGCAACCACUUGACAGUUACAGGAACGUCAGCAUGCCACCUGAGUGGGCUUGACGGGUACCUGCAGGAAGCUGGAGGCCAGGCCGCCCCCGUCACUCUCCCAGCAGGUGGAGGCCCAUCCUGCCUGUCCUCAGAGAGGAGCAACUGCAGAGGAAUUUCCUCUGAUAAUACUCACAGAUUCUUAUACGGCAAGUUUUAAAAAAUUAAUUUUAUCGGUACAAUUUGCAGAUACAUAAUGAUCACAUUUAUCACAGCCGUUUGUCCCUGUACGUGAUAUAUCUUGAGUCUUCUUUUUUUCCCAUUCUCUUCCUCUCCCUUCAACCCUUCUCUCUUUAUUUACAAAUGCUUUGUUUCCAUUUUUUCCCUUUCAUUCUUUUUUUUCCUUUUCACUUCCCUUUCC
rnacentral:lncRNA from 1 species